AGUGAACGCUGGCGGUAGGCCUAACACAUGCAAGUCGAACGGCAGCACAGUAAGAGCUUGCUCUUACGGGUGGCGAGUGGCGGACGGGUGAGGAAUACAUCGGAAUCUACUUUUUCGUGGGGGAUAACGUAGGGAAACUUACGCUAAUACCGCAUACGACCUACGGGUGAAAGCAGGGGAUCUUCGGACCUUGCGCGAUUGCAUGAGCCGAUGUCGGAUUAGCUAGUUGGCGGGGUAAAGGCCCACCAAGGCGACGAUCCGUAGCUGGUCUGAGAGGAUGAUCAGCCACACUGGAACUGAGACACGGUCCAGACUCCUACGGGAGGCAGCAGUGGGGAAUAUUGGACAAAGGGCGCAAGCCUGAUCCAGCCAUACCGCGUGGGUGAAGAAGGCCUUCGGGUUGUAAAGCCCUUUUGUUGGGAAAGAAAAGCAGCAGGUUAAUACCCCGCUGUUCUGACGGUACCCAAAGAAUAAGCACCGGCUAACUUCGUG
rnacentral:rRNA from 1 species